UACUACUCAUAUAGCAAGCCUAGCCCUGGGUUUCUGGAUUACCUAACAUGCCAUUCAUUAUUCAUGUACUCCUGAGCAAAGUCACAAGUGAUUGUGCCAUCAAUAAUCUGGUGUUCUGGGGGGCCCAAUAUUGGUACCAUAAAUGGAUAUAACUCAACUUUCUGAAGAUACUUGCCUACCAAUGGCAUGGGUUUGAUUUUGAAAGGCCUGGAUGGUACUGGAUCACUUCCCUAGAGGACCUGACACUUCCAUGAGAGUUGCUGCUGGAGAUAGAACUCAGUCACCUUCUAUAUCAGUCAUGGGUUGCUAUAAAUGAACAACUAGCUGGGAUUGCUGGCCAUCUCGCUUGGUUUUGUUUGUUCUGAGGAUGUAAACCUGAGUGUCAACUCUGAGUAUCAGCGUGCUGAGAUGGACAAUUGCAGGUGACAUGGCUUGGGUAAGGGGAGACUAGGCCACUGAUCUCAUUUGGAUUGGAGAUCAGAAGAUGAUAAUUCAUGGAAUGCAAGAAGUUUUUAGGUUUAGAAGGAGAACGUUAGCGGAACAUCUUCACAUUUUCUCUAAGCAGAAGUCAUUUAUUGCCACUAGUAAAGGAAGAAACAAAGCUGAGAUAAGCUUUUGAAAGUAAAAUCUCACAGUUAUUCAUGGCAACUGAGUAUAUGGUAAACAUGGUAAAUAAAAAGACCACUUAUUUGUUCCAAAAUCCUUAGGGACUCCAGUAUGGAUCUCAGUUGGACCAAGUGCCUCUCUCCUCUCAUUCUGUCACCUCCCUCCAACCUGCUAGCUCAGAGAGAGAUCCCGGAACUCAGCCCCAGGAGCGAUCCCCAGAUGGCCAGAAGUAAAGACAGCAUUUUCAUUUUAUUCCCUUGGCAAAGUCCCAGUGGCAAGCAAGAACAAGCUAAGUGCUGAGACAUAAUGGAGUUAAAAACCAUCAUUCCAACACUCUUAUCAUACACAGAUGAAGCUAGCCCCUUAUCAGCAAGGAAGCUGAUGGGAAGUUUAUUUUUUUUUCUCGCCUGGUAAAGACUGAAGGAUCACUGGAGGCAGAAGUCUCACAGGUGAGAGGAAAUCUGGGAACUUUGCAUACUUUUCUCUGGCCAACAGUGAAUUACAAGGGAAGAACAGUGCUAUUUCAAACUAAAUAUAAAUACGAGCCCUUAGAGCCUUGUCUGAUUCAUUAAUCUAUUUAAGGAGGAACUUGCACGGAUGGAAUUUGCUGCCUUACUUGAACCAGGUGAGUUUAUUCCCCAUAUACCCUUCCUCCUUCUGUCUUACCUCAUC
rnacentral:lncRNA from 1 species